GUGGUGGUGGUGGUGGUGGUGGUGGUGUGUGUGUGUGUGUGUUUUGGGGUGCUGCUGGGGAUCUAAGAGCUGAAGCCCUUGGGCUCCAGGAGAAAAGCAGCCUUUGGUGCUGAGCCUGUAGUCAUCUGAUUGGAACCAGCCUUGGAGUUCAGUGAGAGCCCUGAGCCUUGUGGAGAGGGAAGGGGGAAGCUCCUGAUGCUCCUGGACAGGCUGUUCUGGGGGAGGAGGAGGAGACAGCCUAUGGCUUUACAGGAAAACAGUUCUUUGGUUGGGUGAUCUUUCAUCAUAUAGAUGAUUGCCUUGGUGCUUUCACUGUAAGACCUGCAGCGAAGAUGAAAUUAUUUUGGUGAUUUUUUUUUGUGGCAAAUAAUAGAGAACUAUCUGAUCUCUUAAAAAGAAAGAAAGACAGAAAAAAAA